rnacentral:rRNA from 1 species
AACGACUCUCGGCAACGGAUAUCUCGGCUCUCGCAUCGAUGAAGAACGUAGCGAAAUGCGAUACUUGGUGUGAAUUGCAGAAUCCCGUGAACCAUCGAGUCUUUGAACGCAAGUUGCGCCCGAAGCCUUUUGGCCAAGGGCACGUCUGCCUGGGUGUCACAC